AAUGCACCAAUUUGUAAGUCGCUCUGGAUAGGAGCGUCUGCUAAAUGACGUAAA
rfam:Salmo salar isolate Sally breed double haploid chromosome ssa20, whole genome shotgun sequence.